UGGGGAAUCUUAGACAAUGGGCGCAAGCCUGAUCUAGCCAUGCCGCGUGAGCGAUGAAGGCCUUAGGGUUGUAAAGCUCUUUCGUGGGGGAAGAUAAUGACUGUACCCCAAGAAGAAGCCCCGGCUAACUCCGUGCCAGCAGCCGCGGUAAUACGGAGGGGGCUAGCGUUGUUCGGAAUUACUGGGCGUAAAGCGCACGUAGGCGGAACAGAAAGUCAGAGGUGAAAUCCCAGGGCUCAACCUUGGAACUGCCUUUGAAACUCCUGUUCUUGGGGUCGAGAGAGGUGAGUGGAAUUCCGAGUGUAGGGGUGAAAUUCGUAGAUAUUCGGAGGAACACCAGUUGCGAAGGCGGCUCACUGGCUCGAUACUGACGCUGAGGUGCGAAAGCGUGGGGAGCAAACA
rnacentral:rRNA from 1 species